GACAGAGGUCCCAAGCGUUAGGCGGAAUCACUGGGCUUAAAGCGUGUGUAGGCGGAGUGCUAAGUACCUUGUGAAAUCCCACGGCUCACCCGUGGAACUGCUUGGUAUACUGGUUCUCUUGAGCCACCUAGGGGCGAGCGGAACAAGUGGUGGAGCGGUGAAAUGCGCAGAUAUCAGGAGGAACACCAAUGGCGAAGGCAGCUCGCUGGGACGGUACUGACGCUGAGACGCGAAAGCGUGGGGAGCAAACAGG
rnacentral:rRNA from 1 species